rnacentral:rRNA from 1 species
GACAGAGGGUGCAAACGUUGUUCGGAAUUACUGGGCGUAAAGCGUGUGUAGGCGGCUAGGUAAGUCGGAUGUGAAAGCCCCAGGCUCAACCUGGGAAGUGCACUCGAAACUGCCUAGCUCGAGUAUCGGAGAGGUUGGUGGAAUUCUCGGUGUAGAGGUGAAAUUCGUAGAUAUCGAGAGGAACACCGGUGGCGAAGGCGGCCAACUGGACGAAUACUGACGCUGAGACACGAAAGCGUGGGGAGCAAACAGG